rnacentral:rRNA from 1 species
UACGUAGGGUGCGAGCGUUAAUCGGAAUCACUGGGCGUAAAGCGCACGUAGGCGGACUCUUAAGUCGGUGGUGAAAUCCUGGAGCUCAACUCCAGAACUGCCUUCGAUACUGAGAGUCUCGAGUCCGAGAGAGGUGAGUGGAACUGCGAGUGUAGAGGUGAAAUUCGUAGAUAUUCGCAAGAACACCAGUGGCGAAGGCGGCUCACUGGCUCGGUACUGACGCUGAGGUGCGAAAGCGUGGGGAGCAAACAGG